GCGUUCACUUCAGCAGCACAUAUAUUGAAACAGGAAUGAUACAGAGAAGAUUAGCAUGAGCGAAGAUGACAUGCAAAUUUGUGAAAUGUUCCAUAUUAAC
rnacentral:snRNA from 1 species